AGGCUACUGCUAUUGGAGUUCGACUAAGCCAUGCAAGUCGUGGGCACCGAAAGGAGACCCGGCGUACCGCUCAGUAACACGUGGAUAACCUACCCUUAGGAGGGGGAUAACCUCGGGAAACUGAGGAUAAUACCCCAUAGGUUUGGAGUACUGGAAUGCCUCCAAACUGAAAGCUCCGGCGCCUGAGGAUGGGUCUGCGGCCUAUCAGGUCGUAGUUGGGGUAAUGGCCCAACUAGCCUACAACGGGUACGGGUUGUGAGAGCAAGAGCCCGGAGAUGGAUUCUGAGACAAGAAUCCAGGCCCUAUGGGGCGCAGCAGGCGCGAAAACUUCGCAAUGCGCGAAAGCGCGACGAGGGAACUCCAAGUGUCUACGCAAUGCGUAGACUGUUCUCCAGUCCAAAAAGCUGGAGGUAGGAAGGGCUGGGUAAGACGGGUGCCAGCCGCCGCGGUAAUACCCGCAGCUCGAGUGGUAGCCACUAUUAUUGGGUCUAAAGCAUCCGUAGCCGGCCGAGCAAAUGCCUGGGGAAAUCGGAUAGCUCAACUAUCUGAAGUCCGGGUAGACUACUCGGCUUGGGACCGGGGGAAGCUAGAGGUACCUAUGGGGUAGCGGUAAAAUGCUGUAAUCCUGUAGGGACCAUCAGUGGCGAAGGCGUCUAGCUAAAACGGCUCCGACGGUGAGGGGUGAAACCCUGGGGCGCAAACCGGAUUAGAUACCCGGGUAGUCCAGGGUGUAAACGCUGCCCGCUUGAUGUUAGGCAUUCCACGUGGGUGCCUAGUAUCGUAGAGAAGUCGUUAAGCGGGCCACCUGGGGAGUACGGUCGCAAGGCUGAAACUUAAAGGAAUUGGCGGGGGAGCACCGCAACGGGUGGAGCGUACGGUUC
rnacentral:rRNA from 1 species